GCUAACACAUGCAAGUCGAACGGCAGCACGGACUUCGGUCUGGUGGCGAGUGGCGAACGGGUAAGUAAUGUAUCGGAACGUGCCCAGUAGCGGGAGAUAACUACGCGAAAGCGUAGCUAAUACCGCAUACGCCCUACGGGGGAAAGCAGGGGAUCGUAAGACCUUGCACUAUUAGAGCGGCCGAUAUCGGAUUAGCUAGUUGGUGGGGUAACGGCUCACCAAGGCGACGAUCCGUAGCUGGUUUGAGAGGACGACCAGCCACACUGGGACUGAGACACGGCCCAGACUCCUACGGGAGGCAGCAGUGGGGAAUUUUGGACAAUGGGGGAAACCCUGAUCCAGCCAUCCCGCGUGUGCGAUGAAGGCCUUCGGGUUGUAAAGCACUUUUGGCAGGAAAGAAACGUCAUGGGUUAAUACCCCGUGAAACUGACGGUACCUGCAGAAUAAGCACCGGCUAACUACGUGCCAGCAGCCGCGGUAAUACGUAGGGUGCAAGCGUUAAUCGGAAUUACUGGGCGUAAAGCGUGCGCAGGCGGUUCGGAAAGAAAGAUGUGAAAUCCCAGAGCUUAACUUUGGAACUGCAUUUUUAACUACCGGGCU
rnacentral:rRNA from 1 species